rnacentral:tRNA from 1 species
CGGGGCGUAGCGCAGCCUGGUAGCGCGCCUGCUUUGGGAGCAGGAGGCCGGCGGUUCGAGUCCGCCCGCCCCGACCA